UACAGAGGUCUCAAGCGUUGUUCGGAUUCAUUGGGCGUAAAGGGUGCGUAGGUGGCGCGCUAAGUCAGGUGUGAAAUCUCGGGGCUUAACUCCGAAACUGCAUUUGAUACUGGCGUGCUUGAGGACUGGAGAGGAGACUGGAAUUCAUGGUGUAGCAGUGAAAUGCGUAGAGAUCAUGAGGAAGACCAGUGGCGAAGGCAGCACUCUGGGACGUGACUGACGCUGAGACGCGAAAGCGUGGGGAGCAAACAGG
rnacentral:rRNA from 1 species